rnacentral:snoRNA from 1 species
AUCCCAUGAUAAGGACAGGUGGCCACGUACUCCUGCAGUCGUUCCCACGCUUCCGGAAUGGACUCAUCCCUUGUCUGCUGGAAACUGGAAAUUCGUCCUCGAAGGGC